UAUACUCUCUCUCUCUCUCUCUCUCAUUCUCACAUAAUCGUUCAUCAUACUCCGAAACCCUAAAUCGCUGAUUCGCCUUCCUUCGCUCUGAUUCUAUCCUGUGUGACGAGGUUUAUUCAAUCUUCAAAUAGUCAAUAGUGAUCAUCAUCGAUGAUUGUAUUGGGAGUUUCAAAGACUGAACUGUUAAUUGCAGAAAACAGAGGCGUUGAAGAACCUUAAGCAUAGAUGAUUCUGAAUACAACGAAAUACAACCGAAGAGUCAGCGGCUCGACUGCUCGAGCAAAGGCGUUGGAGCAUAAAGUUGUCCGAGUUCAUUACGACUGUGUAACACGAAAGACAAGG